UUGGUGGCGUUGACCUCGCUUUGUGUGAUC
rnacentral:piRNA from 1 species